GACGAACGCUGGCGGCGUGCUUAAAACAUGCAAGUCGAACGGACUUCUCAUGAAGCUUGCGAUUGAGAAGUUAGUGGCGGACGGGUGAGUAACGCGUGGGCAACCUGUCCCUGAGCCCGGGAUAACAGUUCGAAAGGACUGCUAAGACCGGAUAUACUUGCGGUGAAGCAUUUCACUGCAAGGAAAGGGAACGCUCAGGGAUGGGCCCGCGUCCCCAUUAGCUAGUUGGUGAGGUAACGGCCCACCAAGGCGACGAUGGGUAGCCGGCCUGAGAGGGUGAACGGCCACACUGGGACUGAGACACGGCCCAGACUCCUACGGGAGGCAGCAGUUGGGAAUCUUCGGCAAUGGGCGCAAGCCUGACCGAGCAACGCCGCGUGAGUGAUGAAGGUUUUCGGAUUGUAAAGCUCUGUCUUCCGGGACGAUAAUGACGGUACCGGAGGAGGAAGCCACGGCUAACUACGUG
rnacentral:rRNA from 1 species